CCUACGGGUGGCAGCAGUGAGGAAUAUUGGUCAAUGGCCGGAAGGCUGAACCAGCCAUGCCGCGUGAAGGUCAGUGCCCUAUGGGCGUUAAACUUCUUUUGUGCGGGAGCAAUAAUGGUCACGUGUGGCCAGACGAGAGUACCGUACGAAUAAGCAUCGGCUAACUCCGUGCCAGCAGCCGCGGUAAUACGGGGGAUGCAAGCGUUAUCCGGGUUUAUUGGGUUUAAAGGGUGCGUAGGAUGGGAGGUAAGUCAGCGGUGAAAUGCCUGCGCUCAACGGGGUGAAGUGCCAUUGAUACUGGCUGGCUGGAAUGCGGAUGCCGUGGGAGGAAUGUGUGGUGUAGCGGUGAAAUGCAUAGAUAUCACACAGAACACCGAUUGCGAAGGCAUCUCACGAAUCCGCGAUUGACGCUGAUGCACGAAAGCGUGGGUAUCAAACAGGAUUAGAUACCCGGGUAGUC
rnacentral:rRNA from 1 species